CGAAUUUGAGAAUGAAAGCCAGCGUCGUCGAAAAGAAAAGAUGGGGUGUUCUUGCUUCGGAGGAAGAAACAAAAGGGAUGAUAAAGAAUACAAGAGCAGUGAAAGAUUAAAAGGCGCUGCUGCUGGUCACCAUGGAACUGGUGGAGGAGGAGGGGGCUGUGGCGGCGGUGGAUGUGGAGGAGGAGGUGGCUGUGGCGGUGGUGGAUGUGGUGGUGGAUGUGGUGGUUGAGGGUGCGGAGGUGGAGGCUGUGCUGGUGACUAGCUAUACUCAGGUUUCAUGGUGGAGAUAUGUGUCUGUUUAGUUUGUAUAUUUGUCUUUUAGUUCUUUAUUUGUAUUGUCUGUUUAGUUUGGUUUGUAUUUUAUACUUGACUUAAUAUUAACGUUGGUGUCGUUAACUUUGUUCGGUGUGAGAUUUAUUUUUUUUAAAAAAUCAAUAUAAUAUUUAAUUUCAUAAUUUAGGUUCAAUUUAA